UACGUAGGGGGCAAGCGUUGUCCGGAAUUAUUGGGCGUAAAGGGCGCGUAGGCGGCCUUCUAAGUCGAACGUGAAAUCCCCGGGCUCAACCCGGGAACUGCGUCCGAUACUGGAAGGCUUGAAUCCGGGAGAGGGAUGCGGAAUUCCAGGUGUAGCGGUGAAAUGCGUAGAUAUCUGGAGGAACACCGGUGGCGAAGGCGCAUCCUGGACCGGCAUUGACGCUGAGGCGCG
rnacentral:rRNA from 1 species